CGCUGGCGGCGUGCCUAAUACAUGCAAGUCGAACGGUCUUUCUAUGGAAGCUUGCUUCCACUGAGAAGAUAGUGGCGAACGGGUGAGGUAACACGUGGGUAACCCUGCCCAUAAGAGGGGGAGUAACAUCCGGAAACGGGUGCUAAUACCGCAUAGUUUUCUUGAUCGCAUGAUCGGGAAGGAAAGACGGCCUUUGUGCUGUCGCUUAUGGAUGGACCCGCGGCGUAUUAGUUAGUUGGUGAGGUAAUGGCUCACCAAGACGAUGAUACGUAGCCGACCUGAGAGGGUGAUCGGCCACAUUGGGACUGAGACACGGCCCAAACUCCUACGGGAGGCAGCAGUAGGGAAUCUUCCGCAAUGGACGAAAGUCUGACGGAGCAACGCCGCGUGAGUGAAGAAGGUUUUCGGGAAUCGUAAAACUCUGUUGUCAGAGAAGAACAAGUUGGAGAGUAACUGCUCCAGCCUUGACGGUAUCUGACCAGAAAGCCACGGCUAACUACGUGCCAGCAGCAGC
rnacentral:rRNA from 1 species